AGUGAACGCUGGCGGUAGGCCUAACACAUGCAAGUCGAACGGCAGUACAGUAAGAGCUUGCUCUUACGGGUGGCGAGUUGCGGACGGGUGAGGCAUACAUCGGAAUCUACUUUUUCGUGGGGGAUAACGUAGUGAAACUUACGCUAAUACCGCAUACGACCUACUGGUUAAAGCAGUGGAUCUUCGGACCUUGCGCGAUUGAAUGAGCCGAUGUCGGAUUAGCUAGUUGGCGGGGUAAAGGCCCACCAAGGCGACGAUCCGUAGCUGGUCUGAGAGGAUGAUCGGCAACACUGGAACUGAGACACGGUCCAGACUCCGACGGGAGGCAGCAGUGGGGAAUAUUGGACAAUGGGCGAAAGCCUGAUCAAGCCAUACCGCGUGGGUGAAGAAGGCCUUCGGGUUGUAAAGCCCGAGUGUUGGGAAAGAAAAGCAGAAGGUUAAUACACCGCUGAUCUGACGGUACCAAACGGAUAAACAACGGCUAACUUAGGG
rnacentral:rRNA from 1 species